rnacentral:rRNA from 1 species
UAGGGAAUAUUGCGCAAUGGGCGAAAGCCUGACGCAGCAACACCGCGUGGAGGAUGAAGCAUUUCGGUGUGUAAACUCCUGUCGGCAGGGAAUAAUUUUGACUGUACCUGCAGAGGAAGCAUCGGCUAACUACGUGCCAGCAGCCGCGGUAAGACGUAGGAUGCAAGCGUUGUCCGGAAUUAUUGGGCGUAAAGAGUUCGUAGGUGGUGUCUUAAGUCUGAUGUUAAAGACCGGAGCUCAACUCCGGCAUGGCAUCGGAAACUGGGACGCUAGAGUGCGGAAGAGGUAACUGGAAUUCCAGGUGUAGCGGUGAAAUGCGUAGAUAUCUGGAGGAACACCAGUGGCGAAAGCGAGUUACUGGUCCGCAACUGACGCUGAGGAACGAGAGCUAGGGGAGCAA